rnacentral:rRNA from 1 species
UACGAAGGGAGCUAGCGUUGUUCGGAAUCACUGGGCGUAAAGCGCACGUAGGCGGACGUGUCAGUCAGGGGUGAAAUCCCGGAGCUCAACUUCGGAACUGCCUUUGAUACAGCACGUCUUGAGUCCGGAAGAGGUGGGUGGAAUUCCUAGUGUAGAGGUGAAAUUCGUAGAUAUUAGGAAGAACACCGGUGGCGAAGGCGACAUCCUGGACCGGUAUUGACGCUGAGGCGCGAAAGCCAGGGGAGCAAACGGG